UUUUGACGUAUAAUGUAGUAUGUCAAUCCUUUCGAACUAUUUAGAUAACCACUUGAUGCACAAAUAGGAAAAAGCAGAUUGUGGCAGUGUCGCCUUUUGUGGUUUUAUGAUUUUCAAAUUGAAUUUAAUGAUUACACCCUUUCCCUUCAUAGAUCUUUUUUCUUUUUUUUAAGCCAUGCUGUGACCUACAAGCAAACUAAAUAGCCAACAUUUCUGAACCCCUAUGUCUCCUGUGCCAAGCUGCUCCCUGAAAUGGACUUCUUCAUCUGUACAGAUUUGUUAAACCAUUCUAUUUGCUUCUUAAUAAUAGGAUUUAUAUUAGUACUCAUUACCAUUGGACACAAUGACAUAAGUACUCUCCACAGUAAAGCAGACCUUUCACAACAGUCACUCUGUGUCCUAAAAUUUUCCAACAUAGAUGUGAUUUAUAUAACUUUGUUGAUACGUAAAUUGUCUUGGGGUUUACGGAAAUUAACUAUUAUGUUUGCACUAAGAUUUGCUGGGAGUGGUAGGUGGACAUAUCUAUAUAUCAAUAAGGACUAACCGUCUUUUUUGUACAUAGGAGAUUGAUAAUACUGUAUUUGUUUUAACCCCACAGUGUUUUACUCCACUUUCAAAAAGAUCAAUUUGGCACUUUUUUUCAUUUUUUUUAAUGGAAAUAAGAUUUGGUCUCUCAUUUUAGGUUAAAUGAUAACUAGAAAGAUUAAACUAGACAGAUAGUUUAGGUGGAGUAUAUUUUUAAAACUCAGAACAUGUAUAUUGGUCCUGUGUUACCAAGUUUAUAUGUGACAGUUGAAAAAAAAAUUCCCUUGAAAUGAUCAUGAGGUUAAAAUUUUCUUCAUUAGGGGACUUGGAGAACCAGUAGUCAUAAGAUUAGUUGAUAGUUUCACUCCCAAGCAAUGAAUUGCUUCUGUGUGUUUCCCUGUAGGACUCAAUAGUAAAUCCUGUCUGUCUUACACAUUUAUAAGGACCCUGCAAGACGACGACAAAGGCCUUUGUCCUGUGCUACUAAACAAGAAGGCUAUGAAAAAUUUCUUCUUUAAACUUGUUUUUUCUCUUUCCAGUAAGUUCACAUUUGGAUAAUUUUAAAAAGAAAAGUAAUUACCUUUGUGUUUCCAGAACACUAUAAUUGGGGUGUAUCUUAAUUCAGUUAAAUAUUAUUAGUAGACCUGGAUUUUCCCCCUUGACCCCAUCAGUCUAUAAAGGUUAAACUGCAACUUUUAUGAAAUGGUCUUUAAUAUUUCCACAAUAAUCCUGUGCUAUAUUUGUUCUAAGAAACAAAGUAACUCUAUACACUUCAAGACUUUACAGGAUUUUUUAAAUCCUGUAUUGUUGGAUCAAUUAAUAGAGAUGCAAAAAAAACUUUAUAGAGAUGUAAAAACAAAACUAUAAUGGAUCUCCUAUUUUUCUUUAAAUUAAAAAAAAAGGUAAAUGAACUAUUCUCCUUGUAAAGCUAAAUUCCCCAUUCUGUCUAAUAAAGGAAGACUGAAAAAAGGUUUUAAAGAACAUAAAUGGAAAGAUACAAAUGCUUUGAAGGAAUAAACGAAACAUUAAAACAGGGUCAAUCCAUUUGAAGAAAAAGUUGGACAAAAUAAUCAGCAUUGCUCCCUCUUUUAUUUAAUAUUUGGGUACUGAUUAUAUCCACAUGGAAGUAGAAGGUAAGGAGUUUAGGAAAAUACUAGAAUCUACUCUGCUUACAUUCUUGUUUAAGUGUUUACACAGUUUGGUUCAAUUAUAAACAUUUGGCCUUUUACUAUAUUAUUUUUAUUUUGUAUGAAUACA
rnacentral:lncRNA from 1 species